AUGCUUUGACGAAAGUAAUACCUGUGUACCAGAGACGGAUGAGUUCGUCUGUGACGGCAACACAAUCCUCUAAGAAGUUCUGAGCAU